rnacentral:rRNA from 1 species
CCCGCUGAACUUAAGCAUAUCAAUAAGCGGAGGAAAAGAAACUAACAAGGAUUCCCCUAGUAACGGCGAGUGAAGCGGGAAAAGCUCAAAUUUGAAACCUGGCCUCUUUGAGGAAAAUGUCGCAGGGUUGUAGUUUAUAGAGGCGUUUUCGAUGGAAUCCUGGGUAUAAGUCUUUUGGAACAAGGCAUCAUAGAGGGUGAGAAUCCCGUCUUUGACUCAGAGGUUUCCAUUCUGUGAUACGUCUUCAUAGAGUCGAGUUGUUUGGGAAUGCAGCUCAAAAUGGGUGGUAAAUCUCAUCUAAAGCUAAAUAUUGGUGAGAGACCGAUAGCAAACAAGUACCGUGAGGGAAAGAUGAAAAGCACUUUGGAAAGAGAGUUAACAGUACGUGAAAUUGUUGAAAGGGAAGCGCUUGAAGUCAUACUUGCAUUCGGAUCCGUCCGGGUGCAGGCCAGCAUCAAUUUUCGGGGCCAGAAAAGGGUGAGAGGAAUGUGGCAGCUCAGGCUGUGUUAUAGUCUCUCACUGGAUCCGGCUUUGGGGAUUGAGGAACGCAGCACGCUUCUUUGCGAGUCCCAAGGGACUUUCGUGCUUAGGAUGCUGGUGUAACGGCUUUAAACGACCCGUCUUGAAACACGG